GACGAACCGUGCGAACGUUGUUCGGAAUCACUGGGCUUAAAGGGCGCGUAGGCGGGCCGGCAAGUCAGGGGUGAAAUCCCACGGCUCAACCGUGGAAGUGCCUUUGAUACUGCGGGUCUGGAGGGAGGUAGGGGCGUGCGGAACUUCCGGUGGAGCGGUGAAAUGCGUAGAUAUCGGAAGGAACACCGGUGGCGAAAGCGGCGCGCUGGACCUCUACUGACGCUGAGGAGCGAAAGCCAGGGGAGCAAACGGG
rnacentral:rRNA from 1 species